rnacentral:rRNA from 1 species
GAUGAACGCUAGCGGGAGGCCUAACACAUGCAAGCCGAGCGGUAUUUGUUCUUCGGAACAGAGAGAGCGGCGCACGGGUGCGGAACACGUGUGCAACCUGCCUUUAUCUGGGGGAUAGCCUUUCUAAAGGAAGAUUAAUACCCCAUAAUAUAUUGAGUGGCAUCACUGGAUAUUGAAAACUCCGGUGGAUAGAGAUGGGCACGCGCAAGAUUAGAUAGUUGGUGAGGUAACGGCUCACCAAGUCAAUGAUCUUUAGGGGGACUGAGAGGGUGAUCCCCCACACUGGUACUGAGACACGGACCAGACGCCUACGGGAGGCAGCAGUGAGGAAUAUUGGACAAUGGGUUAGCGCCUGAUCCAGCCAUCCCGCGUGAAGGACGACGGCCCUAUGGGUUGUAAACUUCUUUUGUAUAGGGAUAAACCUACUCUCGUGAGAGUAGCUGAAGGUACUAGACGAAUAAGCACCGGCUAACUCCGUG